rnacentral:rRNA from 1 species
AGUUUGUACGUGAAACCGGCCAGGGGUAAACGGGUGGUUCCCGAAAGUACGAAAGGGGAGAUUCAGGUCUCGCCGCGCGUCGGGCGGCGUCUGCGAUUGGAGAUGGGGUUCACGCGGCCGGGGGGCAACCUCUGGUUUGCGGGGGNUCACUCCGCAGGCGUCUCCCGGCGCCGGAGCGACGCACUUCUCCCCCCUGUAGAACGUCGCGACCCGUCGGUCGCCGGCCUAAGGCCCCGGGUGGACCGCGCACGCAGCGAGACCCCGGGGAUCCCGGCCGGGUGAUCGACGGAAGGAAGAGAGGAAGGAGUCGACGCGCCGCGGCNGUCCGGCCCUCCGCAAGCGCCCGCGGGAGUGUGGUUCGGGCCUGGCCCGCUGCCGCCUCCGCGGGGCUGUUUGCGAUGGAGGUGUCCUCGGA